UACGGAGGGUGCGAGCGUUGUCCGGAAUCACUGGGCGUAAAGAGCGCGCAGGCGGUCUGCCAAGUCAGAUGUGAAAGAGGCCGGCUUAACCGGCAAGGGUCAUUUGAAACUGACAGACUAGAGUGCAGCAGAGGAUAGCGGAAUUCCCGGUGUAGUGGUGAAAUGCGUAGAUAUCGGGAGGAACACCAGUGGCGAAGGCGGCUAUCUGGGCUGCAACUGACGCUGAGGCGCGAAGGCUAGGGUAGCAAACAGG
rnacentral:rRNA from 1 species